AAAGCUAGUAAAUGUUGUGAAGAAAGAUGUGAAAGAAGUAAAGAAACUUGUAAAACUUGUAAAGAAGCUUGUGAAACUUGUAAAGAAUGAAGUGAAUGAAGUAAAAGUUGUACCAUCAUCAUCUACAUAAACAUAAACAUAGAUAAUUUGAUCAUCAUCAGGAUUAUUAUCAUCAUCAACAUAUACAUAGUAUACAUAUCCUUCUUCAUCAUCAUCAUAAACAUAGUCGAUUGGGUUUCCAUAUGAAAU
rnacentral:rRNA from 1 species